UACGUAGGGUGCGAGCGUUGUCCGGAAUUAUUGGGCGUAAAGGGCUCGUAGGUGGUUUGUCGCGUUGUUCGUGAAAACCUGAGGCUUAACCUUGGGCGUGCGGGCGAUACGGGCAGACUGGAGUACUGCAGGGGAGACUGGAAUUCCUGGUGUAGCGGUGGAAUGCGCAGAUAUCAGGAGGAACACCGGUGGCGAAGGCGGGUCUCUGGGCAGUAACUGACGCUGAGGAGCGAAAGCGUGGGGAGCGAACAGG
rnacentral:rRNA from 1 species